GAUUUUUCCAAAACAGUCAAAACACUGCGAGGCGCCAUUUUUGGGCGAAUUGAACAGGAAAAAAAGCCAUGUGUCAAGCACUUUUCGUCCUUACAGAAAUGUCACGGUGUAGAGAGAUCACGAGUUGCAAGAGAUUUUACACUACAGAAAACAGACUUUCCUGCUGCUUGGGUUGUACUUGGGAGGUGUUCAUUGGAUUUCCUUCCGGAUCAAAGCCAAGGAUGCGUUGCUUAUCUUUGAGGUAGGACUUGAAGUAAUACAGCUCACUGCCAGGUUCCUUAGCCACUUUGUAAAACAACACCUCAGGACUGUCUCUUUUAACUUCUUUAAGGGUGUCACUUUG